CGGAUGGGGAAAGCGAUCUCCCCACGAGGCUCCGGCUGAAGUAUCGCGUCCUUUUCAUCCAUUCUCAUGGACGGACGCGGCAUG
rfam:Fulvimarina pelagi HTCC2506 scf_1100011000323 genomic scaffold, whole genome shotgun sequence.